rnacentral:tRNA from 1 species
GCCUGGGUGGCUUGGUCGGUUAAGCGUCUGACUUUGGCUCAGGUCAUGAUCUCAUGGUCUGUGAGUUCGAGCCCCGCGUCGGGCU